rnacentral:rRNA from 1 species
AUGGAGCCGACCUUGAAAUACCACCCUUUAAUGUUUGAUGUUCUAACGUUGACCCGUAAUCCGGGUUGCGGACAGUGUCUGGUGGGUAGUUUGACUGGGGCGGUCUCCUCCUAAAGAGUAACGGAGGAGCACGAAGGUUGGCUAAUCCUGGUCGGACAUCAGGAGGUUAGUGCAAUGGCAUAAGCCAGCUUGACUGCGAGCGUGACGGCGCGAGCAGGUGCGAAAGCAGGUCAUAGUGAUCCGGUGGUUCUGAAUGGAAGGGCCAUCGCUCAACGGAUAAAAGGUACUCCGGGGAUAACAGGCUGAUACCGCCCAAGAGUUCAUAUCGACGGCGGUGUUUGGCACCUCGAUGUCGGCUCAUCACAUCCUGGGGCUGAAGUAGGUCCCAAGGGUAUGGCUGUUCGCCAUUUAAAGUGGUACGCGAGCUGGGUUUAGAACGUCGUGAGACAGUUCGGUCCCUAUCUGCCGUGGGCGCUGGAGAACUGAGGGGGGCUGCUCCUAGUACGAGAGGACCGGAGUGGACGCAUCACUGGUGUUCGGGUUGUCAUGCCAAUGGCACUGCCCGGUAGCUAAAUGCGGAAGAGAUAAGUGCUGAAAGCAUCUAAGCACGAAACUUGCCCCGAGAUGAGUUCUCCCUGACUCCUUGAGAGUCCUGAAGGAACGUUGAAGACGACGACGUUGAUAGGCCGGGUGUGUAAGCGCAGCGAUGCGUUGAGCUAACCGGUACUAAUG